GAGGAAGGCGACGAGAAGCUCGGCGGCCAUCGCCGCCAUUUUGGGCUGGGAGGAGGCAGCGGAGGGACUCGCUGCGCACAUCAAGAAAGAAAACCAAGGCACUAGAAAGCAAGCACACUUAAGUAUUGAAGAUAAUUACAUCUUAAAUUUUGCCUGAACUGUAUAUUGUAGCAUACUUAAACCCAUUCAAGGAAAAAAUUGGCAAAUUGAAAAUUCUCCCAUUAAAGAUUGAUAUUUUUGCAAACUGACAAAUUUAACGAUUUCGGUACCCCUCCCCAAAAAUGCAGUCACAUAAAAUAUAUCAAUACUAUUUUGAAUUAGCUCUAGAAAUCACACUGAAACUAUGUUACAUUUACAAAUAUUAAAUUUAUUAUAACUAAAAUGAAUUUAAUUGUUCUCAGAUUUGGCCACCUUAUAGCUCCGUUUAAGGAGGGGAUUUGUUAAAAACAAAAAUGCAUUAUAACUUGGUCAAAUUACUUUCACAUUAAGGAAAAAAACUUCUAAAAAGGAAAACAAGAAAAGCAACUCUUCAGUUUCACAUAAUUAAAAGAACAGGAGAAAGCACGCAAGCUACAUAUAGCUAAAUUUACGAAACCAAAGCCAGGGGGAUUUCUCUUCUGAUUAUGUGUCAUAAAAAGGUCCACUGUCUUAUAUACACAUGUAUAUAAUGUUACAUUCCAUCACUGUAAAAAGUCCCCUUUGCCCCCUCCCCCAAAAAAGUUUCAGUCUAGUCUCCAAACUUGGAAAGCGGCGCUCGCUCCUGCUGCCGGUGCAGUUCGUUCUCGGUCAGCAGCUGGAGGUUCUCGGCGCGCAGCCGGUCCAGCUCCAGCUCCAGCUCCCGCACACGCGCGUCGUCGCCACCCAGCCGCUUGCUCUCCAGCCGCAGCCGGUUGUUCUCGUCCUCCAUGCGCGAGAGGCACUUCUCCAGUUCCAGGUACUCCUUGAUGAGCUCCUGCUUGCUCAUGUUCUGCAGGCUCUCCGUGUGGUACCGCUCGUACGUCUCCGAGAAGUCCCGCUGCAGAAACUCGCUGCCGUCCCCUCCCAUCCCAUCGCUGCCCCCAUCCUCCUCACCCCCUUCUUCCAUGAAGUCGUCAUCGCUGGUGUCGUCGGAUUUGGCGGCGGCCCGCUUGGAGUACAGGCCGGUUUUGAGAUCCGGCUCCUCCUGGUCGUGAUCAUCCAUGAGGAACUGCGUGGUGUUAUAGGGCGCGACCGGCUGGCCCUUGGCGAACAUCUCGGCUCGGAUCCUUGAAGCUCGAAGGCUCUGUUUCUCGUCGAACUUUUUCUUCUCUUCCCAGGUCAGCUUGUAGUACGGUUUCCAAUGCCGCUUCUUCUUGGA
rnacentral:lncRNA from 1 species